rnacentral:rRNA from 1 species
AAGCGGCAACAGCUCAAAUUUGAAAUCUGGCGCAAGCCCGAGUUGUAAUUUGUAGAGGAUGCUUCUAGGCAGCGGCCGUUCUAAGUUCCUUGGAACAGGACGUCAUAGAGGGUGAGAAUCCCGUAUGUGACCGGCACGCACCUUUUACGUAGCUCCUUCGACGAGUCGAGUUGUUUGGGAAUGCAGCUCUAAAUGGGAGGUAAAUUUCUUCUAAAGCUAAAUACCGGCUGGAGACCGAUAGCGCACAAGUAGAGUGAUCGAAAGAUGAAAAGCACUUUGGAAAGAGAGUUAAAAAGCACGUGAAAUUGUUGAAAGGGAAGCGCCUGCAACCAGACUUCGUGGCAGUGUUCCGCCGGUCUUCUGACCGGUCUAUUCUCUGUCGCGAGGCCAUCAUCGUCUGGGGCCGCCGGAUAAGACUGGAGGAAUGUAGCUCCCCUCGGGGAGUGUUAUAGCUUCCAGUGAUGCGGCGUGUCUCGGGCGAGGUCCGCGCUUCGGCAAGGAUGAUGGCGUAAUGGUUGUCGGCGGCCCGUCUUGAAACACGGACCAAGGAGUCUAACAUCUAUGCGAGUGUUCGGGUGUCAAACCCCUACGCGUAAUGAAAGUGAACGGAGGUGGGAACUUUUUGUGCACCAUCGACCGAUCCUGAUGUCCUCGGAUGGAUUUGAGUAAGAGCAUAGCUGUUGGGACCCGAAAGAUGGUGAACUAUGCCUGAAUAGGGUGAAGCCAGAGGAAACUCUGGUG